UCAUCUGCAUCUAGUGGUCAGACCAGAGACUUCAGAAUAAGUCUCAGGUUUGGUCCUUUUCAUUUGGAGAGGGGUGUGCAUGUUGUACGUGCAGUGUGGCGACGAAUGGUUUGGCAGCAGGGGGGAAGUGGAGGUGGUGGUGAAAGGUGUGAGCGCUUAGAGAGCACCAGGUUCGAGACCACUCUGGUUCGUUUAUGCCUUGACCCACUGUAUCUACCCUUACAACUAAUACAUGGGGGAUGAAGUGUGGCAAAAGAGCUGGAGGGUUUGUCGGCUUUCUGUGUACGUUUAGGUGCAGAGCGUGCACCUAUUCUUUUAUUCUUUUUCACACAAAAUAUUUCUAUACUGCCUUUCAUUUGAAAUCUCAAGGCUGUUUACAGUAAAAAGAAUAAGAACAAAUAAAUAUUAAAAUUAUGAUACAGACUAAAACAGCAGCCGGCAGACCGGGGAAGGAAUAAAAUUAAGAAAUACAACCAACUGGUACAAAUGACCAGCAAACAUUAGAGAAAUUAACUGAGUUUUUAGCAAGUGCAAAAAGGCCUUUAGAGGGGAGAUAGCUCCAUAGAGAAAAUUAAUCUGUGUUAGUGAUUGAACAUAGAGUUGUAGGUCAUUUGAAGCUAAUUAAUCUGGAAUAAAAGGCUAUGACUUUUGGUGCUUUCACAAAUGAUGCUAAGAUGACUUUUUGUGCAUUGAACAAGCUGCAUGUCCCACUAAAUCCAGUGGGCUUUAUUCACAGUUUCCCCGGCCUAAGCACCGAGAGAGGUUCCUUUGAAAAGGCAGCUGAGGAGAGAGACCAUCCACCUGAAACGCGGGAGGCGGAAAUCGUACACUCAGUGCAACUCUCUUUAUCCCUUUUGUCUGGGAACUACAAAAAGAGAGAAGUUGGAAGGGACCAGAAGGUGAUCCAAUCCACCCACCUGCUCCAAAACAGGAGCUCAGGUGCGUAUUGUAGGCCAUGGACAACUUGAAAUCCACCACAGCCCUUCAGACUGUCAAAUAAGGAGAUGAAGACCAGAUGGAGAGUGCCUGAUAUUGCAGGUGCAAACAUGACAUUUUCAAGUAUUUUUACUUUUGUUUUAAAAAAUCAAGAUCUUAUGCCCUCUUUUAAACAGUGUUAUGCUUUGCAGACAUUUAUAGUAAAAGAAGUUUUGAAACCAUUUCAGAACACAAUAAAAAACAGUAUGUGACACACUUUCUUCCUGAGUGUAUUAUGCUAUGUAUUCAAAAUAUGCAAUAAAAAACUUAAGAAAAUAAAGAAAAUGGCUUAAAAACUGAUUUUUCUGGUCAUUUGUGAUGUUUGGCAUUCAUUUUAUUCCUCUACUUUGCUUUUAGCAAUUGUUUUUGUUUUUAACAUGAAAACCUGAGGGGGGGGGAAAUAUAAACACAGAGGCUGAAAAUUUAAGGAUGUCCAUAGAAAGUGGGUUUCCUUUUUCCUAUUUCCUUUGCCUUCCUUUAAUGGAAUCUGGUGUCCACUAAGCCUUAUUCUAACACUUUCUGACAAUGCCAUUUACCUAGAGAGGAUUGACAGCAAAAUUGCAGGCUGAAAGCAAAGAAUGAGUUCACUUUUGUGGCUGCAUAACUAGCCUUGCAACAGCUUCAUUUGGUAGAACUGGCUCUCUCCUGGCCAUUACCUCAGAAAACUCUUUUGCACGCAUGCAAUAUAAGCAGCUGAGAGAGGCACAGAGCUGGCGGUCUGCUCACAAACCUUGCAGACAGGAAGACUCAUUAAGGAGUCCCUAGUCAUUGCUUUGUGAGUCUCAGAGGAAGCAUCAGGGGCCUUAUUUAAACUAGGUGUCUGGCAGACAGGUAUACCAAAACCUGUCAAAUGAAACUGGGGGUGGGGGUGGUGAGCGUGCAGCUGAAUAAGUGAGUUCAAUGGGAGGUGUGCAUUUGUCUUGCUUAUCUGCACAGGGACUGCUUUGUGCUGAAGGCAGGGCCUGUCACUGCAAAGACAAGGUCAGGCUGAAACAGAAAGGAUAAAGCCAGCCUCCUCUGGUUCCCAGGUUACAGGAUGGGAGGGAUGCAAUUUUUAUUGCCAUGUGGAACUGACUGUUCUGAGGUGCUGAAGGGUUAUUUAAUGAAUGCCGAGCGGCUGUGUUUGAAGUUAGAAGGUCAGUCAAAUAUUCCCUGUAACCUUGGAGGGCUUAAUCAUGCCCUGAGUGCUAGCCGAGCUAUUGAAGAGCAACCAUCGCAAACCGGGGAUUUUGGCUUUCGCCUUUUCUUUUUCAUUUGGCUGAGAUUUCCUUGGAUGCUCCUGUCCUUUGCCUGUCCCAGGGGAUGCCCCAGUUCACCUUUGCUUGCUUCUGUGGGCUCCAUGGCUUCUGCAAGAUGAAGAGGAAGAAGGAAGAGCCCAGCGCUGAGCAAGAGACAGCGGUGUGACCUUUCCUUUGUGCAUCACCUUACACCUCUCUGUUGAGUUGGAGGAGCACAGCAACUGUGAGACUUUGCAGGCUUGGCGGGGGGGAAACCUCGCUCUGUGCAGAUAGGAAUGUAACUGAGGAUCCAGAAGCCAAGCUGGGCAAAAUGGCAAUUCUACACGGUGUCCUAUUUGGAAUUACCCUGAGCCUUAGAGACGAGGUGAUGCUGCCAAGACAACUUUCAUUGUACCCGUUUAAGGUAAAUGACAAGUUUUUGUGACCAGCUGGACGGGUGCAGGACAUGCACAAAAUGCAGGAAUGAAGCCAAGGAAGGGAGAAUGAGUCAAAUACCUUGUUGUACAGCUUCCCAAGAAGAAACUGUGCUAAAUUAUAAACAUGAACAUCUUUCCCAACCUAAACCACUCUGCUAUGUACAUUUGCACUACUAAUGCUAGAAUCUUAAACUGUGAAAUAGGAAUAAAUCCAAUAAUUGUGUUAUUUCUGACUGGCAUUUAAAGGUAUUACAAAAAUAUAAGUAUCAGGUUAAUUUCAGGUUGUACAGUUACUGCAUUCCAAUAUUACCUAAAGUAGAAAGGAUACUUUAAAAAAAUCAUAAUACAGUUGUAUGGGGGUUUUUUGCACUGAGGCUGAUAUGGCUAUAAGAAGCACUUUAUUUCUACAGGGUCAGUAGAUAUAUGAGGUUAGACCAGCAUUUAAACAUUCAUGGCUUUGUUGCUCGCAAGGAUACAGUCCCUCAGGAGAUAGAAACAAAGAAAACCAAACAUUACUCAGUAUCUCUUACCUUCUACUUAUAGCUUAUUGCUAUAACCAUCUGAUGUGUUCUCUGAAUUUCAAAGCUGAAUGCCUGGGUGGUCAGUGCAUUUAUGAAUUUUUCAGAGGGUGGCUGAAAAUGUUUUAUAUUAUUUUGUCUGGCCAUAGAAAAUACUGCAGUGACCAAAUCUUGUCAUAAUUAUCAUUGUAAGCAAUAGGCACUAUAUUGAAAUUGGUUGAAAUCCUCUGCAUAUUUAGGUAUGCAGCAUACAAAACUGUGGGCUGGAUUGAUUCUGCAUCACUGAUUAAUGGAAAGAAUUGUUAUCUACCCCAUCUAUGGUAUUUAUUGAAUGUACCUGCAGUCAAUUCGCACAGUCACAUUUAUGAGUGACCACACGUGUAUAUAGACCACUAAUGAUUCAAGUAAAGUCUAUAUAGAUUUAUAUAUUUAUCUAUAUACAAAUAUAGUCUAAGUUUACUCUUAAUUAUGCUGGAGCCUAGCUAGUGCACAGCAAUUUAUUUUUAUUUCAAAAUGUCCUAUGUUCUCUGAAAUACAUAUGUGUAACCUAGAAGUGGGCAUUGGUCAAACCCAGCAACUUUGAGAUCCUUGGAUGUACACACCUUGAACCUACCAAAAACAUUACAAGGCAAUUAUAUAUCUUUCUGAAAUAAAUUAGAAACUCAAAUGUUUCUUUAGUUAGGUUCAUGAAAGCUGUUUUUUCCACAGGGCAGAGAACUUGCUGAGAAGUUACAAAGACGCACAGAUAACUCUUUCUGUCUUUGCUAUAUGACUACAACAAGUUCCUCUUCUGGGAGCAAUGACACUGAUUGUGUCAUUGGAGAUAACAGUAAUAUUGUAUGUAUUCAGGGUCAAAGGUGCUAUACAAAAGCUAAGUGUUAGCGAUAAAGCACAAGCUUCAGUCCAUUCCUUUUGACAAACUACUUAAACACAUACUUAUAU